rnacentral:rRNA from 1 species
UACGGAGGAUCCGAGCGUUAUCCGGAUUUAUUGGGUUUAAAGGGUGCGUAGGCGGCCUUGUAAGUCAGGGGUGAAAGACGGUAGCUUAACUAUCGCAGUGCCUUUGAUACUGCAGGGCUUGAAUGUACUUGAGGUAGGCGGAAUGUGACAAGUAGCGGUGAAAUGCAUAGAUAUGUCACAGAACACCAAUUGCGAAGGCAGCUUACUAAAGUAUGAUUGACGCUGAGGCACGGAAGCGUGGGGAUCAAACAGG